rnacentral:misc_RNA from 1 species
AUGCCAGUUUGGCUACACUUUCUAGUAAACUUAAUCACUGUCCCAUUGCUUUUGAUUCUCACCAUUCAAAAACCAUAGGUCGUUUGUAUCCUUGGAAUUGUUCUAUUGGAUUUGCAAGACAAGAGGAAGAGCAUCAGUGGGUUAGUUAACCGCUCUAAUGCCAAUGGGAAUUGGAUUGUGAAAGAAUAGGAUUAAUUAUAUCAACACGCAUAUGAUCUUUAUAUAGGCUUUGUUGUGGAUUUCUAUUAGGAGUUUUUAUUUGAGUAAAAUUAAGAGUACAUACUGUAUAGGAGUUUUGAUGUGGAGGAAUUUCUGAUUUUGACGGAUAGCUUCUGAAUGGUUGGGCGAGUCUAAGAGUAUCCCAUGGUUACUCGGUUCAGUUACGCAUUACUUAUUACUCAGUACCAUUUUGGGGACUACAAUUGACUGUAUCAUUACUACCAUACCUAUUGUGUUUUGAAUCUAUUAUAGAAAGGGUGUAGAUGAAAAUUUGUAGCUUAUUUUAGAACUUUUCCUUUUGUGGCAGCAUGGAAAGGAU